UACGUAGGGUGCGAGCGUUAAUCGGAAUUACUGGGCGUAAAGCGUGCGUAGGCGGUUCCUCAAGUCCGUUGUGAAAGCCCCGGGCUCAACCUGGGAAUGGCAGUGGAAACUAGGGGACUGGAAUCUGGCAGAGGGGGGUAGAAUUCCACGUGUAGCAGUGAAAUGCGUAGAGAUGUGGAGGAACACCGAUGGCGAAGGCAGCCCCCUGGGUCAAGAUUGACGCUCAUGCACGAAAGCGUGGGGAGCAAACAGG
rnacentral:rRNA from 1 species